GUUGAUCGUCUUGUCGCUUUAUUGUCGACUCGGUCUAAAAACAAGAGCUGAAGCUAAGAAUUGUAUUAGCACAGACUUUCGACUUGACGUGAUAAUUAUUUCGUUAAGAACAGAGUUUGUCGACGUUUCUUAAGCGGGCUAACAAAGCAUUACUUUUUACAUUAGACCUCAAAUCAGUCAGGACUACCCGCUGAACUUAA
rnacentral:misc_RNA from 1 species